CCUACGGGAGGCAGCAGUGGGGAAUAUUGGACAAUGGGCGCAAGCCUGAUCCAGCAAUGCCGCGUGUGUGAAGAAGGCCUUCGGGUUGUAAAGCACUUUAAGUUGGGAGGAAAGCCUGCGGAUUAAUACUUUGCAGGGGGGACGUUACCAACAGAAUAAGCACCGGCUAACUCCGUGCCAGCAGCCGCGGUAAU
rnacentral:rRNA from 1 species